rnacentral:rRNA from 1 species
AGUGAACGCUGGCGGUAGGCCUAACACAUGCAAGUCGAACGGCAGCACAGUAAGAGCUUGCUCUUACGGGUGGCGAGUGGCGGACGGGUGAGGAAUACAUCGGAAUCUACUUUUUCGUGGGGGAUAACGUAGGGAAACUUACGCUAAUACCGCAUACGACCUACGGGUGAAAGCAGUGGAUCUUCGGACCUUUCGCGAUCGAAUGAGCCGAUGUCGGAUUAGCUAGUUGGCGGGGUAAAGGCCCACCAAGGCGACGAUCCGUAGCUGGUCUGAGAGGAUGAUCAGCCACACUGGAACUGAGACACGGUCCAGACUCCUACGGGAGGCAGCAGUGGGGAAUAUUGGACAAUGGGCGCAAGCCUGAUCCAGCCAUACCGCGUGGGUGAAGAAGGCCUUCGGGUUGUAAAGCCCUUUUGUUGGGAAAGAAAAGCAGCAGGUUAAUACCCCGCUGUUCUGACGGUACCCAAAGAAUAAGCACCGGCUAACUUCGUG